rnacentral:rRNA from 1 species
UACGUAGGGGGCAAGCGUUGUCCGGAUUUACUGGGCGUAAAGCGCACGUAGGCGGAUCGUUAAGUCGGGGGUGAAAUCCUGGGAGCUCAACUCCAGAACUGCCUUCGAUACUGGCGAUCUCGAGUUCGGGAGAGGUGAGUGGAACUGCGAGUGUAGAGGUGAAAUUCGUAGAUAUUCGCAAGAACACCAGUGGCGAAGGCGGCUCACUGGCCCGAUACUGACGCUGAGGUGCGAAAGCGUGGGAGCAACGG